UACAGAGGUCUCAAGCGUUGUUCGGAUUCAUUGGGCGUAAAGGGUGUGUAGGUGGCGCCGUAAGUCGGGUGUGAAAUUUCGGAGCUUAACUCCGAAACUGCAUUCGAUACUGCGGUGCUUGAGGACUGGAGAGGAGACUGGAAUUUACGGUGUAGCGGUGAAAUGCGUAGAUAUCGAGAGGAACACCGGUGGCGAAGGCGGCUUCCUGGACAGUGACUGACGCUGAGACGCGAAAGCGUGGGGAGCAAACAGG
rnacentral:rRNA from 1 species